GCUAACUACUCCCAUCGGCAGGAUACACCGUGCGUGCGCACAAGCGGGCAGGUCUCUUAUACCGAACAUCCAUCCGAUCUCCUUGCCCCACGUGCCGGCCCAGCUAUCACAGCCUGACAUAUGGACACCGCGCGUGCGCAGUGUGGGGGUUGGGAGAUCUGAUGGACACUUUCACUGUUAAAUCUCCCUACCCCUCAGUGCACAUGCGCUGUGUCUGAUUAUCUGGAGAAUCCUGUCAUCUACCAGGUCAGUCUCUCCCUGCUCCCAACACUCUCAGCUAUGUGGGGUCUGCAGAGUAUAUGGGGGGGUCUGCGCAAUAUGUUGGGGGGUUUGUGCUGUAUAUUGGGGGCUCUGUGCUGUAUAUUGGGGGGUCUGCUCAGUAUAUGGGGGCUCUCUGCAGUAUUUUGGGGGUCUGUGCUAUGGGGUCUGGCAGUAUAUGGGGGGGCUGUCUGUGCAAUAUAUUGAGGGUCUUUGCUGUGUAUGGGGGUCUAUAUUGGGGGUAUAUUGGGGUCUGUCUGUAUACUGUGCAGUAUAUUGGGGGUCUGUGCUGUAUAUGGGGGGCUCUCUGCACAGUAUAUCUGUGCUGGGGGGCUGUCUGUGCAGUAUAUUGGGGGCUCUGUGCUGUAUAUGGGGGUCUCUAUAUGGGGGGCUGUGCAGUAUAUUGGGGGUCUGUGCUGUGUAUUGGGGGUCUGUGCUGUAUAUUGGGGGUCUGUGCUGUAUAUUGGGGGUCGGGCUGUCAGUAUAUUGUGCACUAUAUUGGGGCUCUGUGCUGUAUAUUGGGGGCUGUCUGUGCUGUAAAUGGGGGUCUGCUCUCGGUGGUAUAUCUGGCUAUAGGGGCUGCUGUAUAUGGUCUGUGCAGUAUAUUGGGGGUCUGUGCUGUAUAUGGGGCUCUGGCAUCUGUGCUGUAUAUGGGGGCUGUCUGUGCAGUAUAUUGGGGGUCUGUGCAGUAUAUUGGGGUGUCUGUGCAGUAUAUGGGGGGCUGUCUGCUCAGUAUAUUGGGAGUGUCUGCGCAGUAUAUUGGGGGGUCUGCUCAGUAUAUUGUGGGGGUCUGCUCAGAAUAUUAGGGGAUCUGAUCAGUAUAUUGGGUGGGUCUGCGCAGUAUAUUGGGUGGGUCUGUGCAGUAAUUUGGGGGGCUGUCUGCUCAGUAUAUUGGGCGGUGUCUGCGCAGUAUAUGGGGAGUGUCUGCGCAGUAUAUGGGGGGUGUCUGCGCAGUAUAUGGGGGGUGUCUGCGCAGUAUAUUGGGGGGUCUGUGAAGUAUAUUGGGGUGGCCUGUGUGUUAGAUGUGGAGGGCAGUGUAUUAGAUGGGGGGCUGUGCGUUAGAUGUGAGGGGGCUGUGCGUUAGAUGUGGGGGGACAGUGUAUUAUAUUUGGGGGAUGUGAGUUAGAUGGGGAGCUGUGCAGUAUGUGUGGCCUGUGUGUUAGAUGUGUACAACCCGAGUUUCACAAAAAAAUAUUUAUUUCAUAGAUAUCAUAUGCCAUGGCAUGCUUUUUGCUAUGAAACCGCAGCCAUCUAGUCACUCACCAGAGAUGGAUGAGAAACUGCACCCCAGCCAGAGGGAAGGCCCCACAUCUGCAACAAAAUCCGUCGGUCACCAAAUUCUGUAAUCUCUGUCUCUUUGUCCAUUCUGUAUGUAUAGUACUCCCAAUUCUUAUAUUUAAUGCGGUGUGUCUCCCACAAUCUUUGUGUCUGUCUGCUGUAUGUAUGUGGCACGCAUGCACUGUGUCUGUUAUGCCAUUUCCUCUAACCAGUUUUUUUUUUAGUUUUUUUGUGUGUGUCACAACUCUGACAAGCAUGUUCUCCUAUGGGACACGAAGUACAUGAAGAGGAAUGAAGAAGCCCAUGUUUGAGGCUCAUCUCCAGGGUGGAGUAUUGAAUUUAUAAGUACUGAAGUGGCAUCUGGCACGUGACAAGCUGCUCCUGUUUGCACAGCGACUUCAACAUUGUGUACUGUGAUCACAGCCUAGUUCAGAGGUAGGUAACCUUGGGCAGUCCAGAUGCUGUGAAUUACACCUCCCAUAAUGUUGGCAAAGCAUUAUGGAAGGUGUAGUGCAAAACAUCUGGAAUAUCGAAUGUAUGGUGUGUGUGAAUGGUCAGUAACAAGGGUUGAAGCCUUGACGUGGUGUUACUGUAGUGGCUGUAAUACUUAUGAGGUAACCAUAAAUACUGUGACUAUGGAGAAUUAAACGCAUGUAUCACCUAAACACUGCUUAUACUGUGACCAUAUCUCCUAAACACUGCUUACACUGUGACCGUACAAUCUAAACACUGCUUAUACUGUGACCGUAUCUCUGAAACACUGCUUACACUGUGACUGUAUCAUAUAAACUGCUUAUACUUAUCGGGAUCCAUCAAAGGUGAAAUCAAGGGUUAUAUACUCCAUGCCACUUUAAUCGGGGUAAUAAAGUGUUCCAGAUAUAGUGCCCCAGUUUGAUCAGGUUUAAAUCAUUAUAUGUUAGACUGUUUUUUCAAUUCCAGAUCAAGUUUCAGUUUGAUGAGGGAGGUAGUUUAAAGCAUUACACACUAAGUGCAUUUUCUGUAUUUUAGAUCUGGUGUCCCAGUAUGGAAUGGAGACCAUCGUUCUGUUUAACAAGAGGUUAGUUGUGCAUCAUCUAUGACUGGCGGCUCAGCAGGAAUUCAACAGGUUCAUGAAAUGGAACCCUCUGUUGCAUUAGACCCAAUUCUGAGAUUAUGACCGAACCCUAAAGCACUUAAUAUUUUUAUGAAAUUUUAUUUAUGUAUUUUGAAUGUUGUGCAAAGACCCCAGAUGGCCACUGUUCCACUUGUAUUCCAGUGGCCAUGAAGGGCAGGUAAAGGUAGUUUUUACUUGACUUAAAAUGUAUGCAUCUUCUUUCUCAACGUCCUCUUCAGCUCCUGGAGCGUUAAUUUGCCAGGAGCCAACGGAAGCGCUCUACUCAAGUGCAUGCAUUAGCUCUGUCUUUUGUCAAAAGUAGGAAAAAUACUUAAAAUAAAGUUGUUCCUGUUUGCUCUUAAUUUGUGGGCGUGUUGAGGACUCCCUGCAUAAGAGACCAUUGGAUACAGAAGGCUGUACUAAAGGACGAUCUCAUCACAGCAUCACCCAAGAGGCCUCUUAAGAGUAAAGAGCGGCUAACAAUAUCUGGUAAUAGGCCACGUGCAAUUAUUAUGUAUGUAAUUAAUGUACAACAUACUUUUUUGUUACAUUAGAAAUUAACAAAUACUGUUAGACUUUUUGUUUACUGCUGCCUUAAAAAAAAAUAUUAAAACUCC
rnacentral:lncRNA from 1 species